CCCGGACACUCCAGCCGCCCUAGGCGAGCCGCUGGGAGAUGAGGUUAAGUUUGCGGUAGGGUUGACGCCUGCUGUUGCCCGGGUGGGCCACGGUUACCGUGACCGCAAUUCCGGGGUCCCAACUCGCCCCAAACUGAUCACUCUCCUCCACCACUAACCUGGUUCUUUGAUGAGACCUUUUCCCCAGCGCGCGCUCACGCUGCUGGUGCCCUCGUUAGGAUUCUGUGCCGGGCAGCGGGAGGCUUUCUGCCCUUUGUCUGUUCCCACGACCCGAGCCUUUGCUGUGUCAGACUGAACCCUUUGCUUUAAUCUGUUUCGAUGUUCGAUGAGCAUGAUUUACGCACUUAAGUCUGGCCUCUAACCAAGUCAACUUUACUGCGCGUCCUGCCCCAGGGUUUCUCUGUGCUCCUCUCUUGCCCGCGGUCAGAUCUAGCCGGCCUUAUCCCGCAUCGGAAGCAUUUUAGGAAGGGUCUUUAUCACCCACUGCGCUCCCGGCAGCCUCCGUGCCGUUUCAUCUACGACUAAUGCGUUUUCUCCGCGAGAAGGGUGAGCCUGGUACUCUUUUAAUUAGACCUGGCUCCAGAGCGCCGGGAGCUUGCAUGAAGAGGAGUUUGCCAAGAAACUGAACAAAACCGUUAGUGAGAUCUUAGCUGCUUCCUCUACCCGCCCAGUCGCUGGGAGCAUUGUCAUUCCCAGAGGCAGAAGUUCCUGGCGAGCCCUGUUAAGGGGAGGAAUUGGGUUUGGGCCGGCUUGAAGGGGCUUGAGGCUAUGACAGAGUUUAUACCCUGCUAGGGGUGACCCCCUGGGUUUGACGUGCUGUCUGACCUUGAGCGCACAGAGGGCCAGAGGAGGUGGGCGGACAGUCGACACGCUCCCGUAACCCGUAAGCAAAAAGCUAAGCAGUAUGCCUUCUUCCGAAGUUACUAAGCCACCCUUUUUCUGCGUUAGUGUGCCAGUAGGAGACCAUCCGUCCGAAGGGGGCAUUCCCAGUGACGGUGUGGGCUCAGGAGAGGAACGGGAGGGGGGGCUGCCUGGAUGGGAAAGACGGUUUCUACAAGUAGGAGGGUCUGGUGUUGGCUCCUGGUCUUCUCGGAUUAGGUGUACAAGGAUUGGAAGGUUAGGGCCUUGAAAAGCAGUUUCAACGGUCUAGACUAAAAACUCCUAGUAAGAAAAACACCAACAGAAGGGGCAAGGAGAGUGUGAUAAACAGAUCAGUGGGAGGACACUGGAGGCAGAGCCGCAGAAAUUAAAGCCAGCUUGACAGUCCAUUUUUAACUCCACUCAGGCAGCUGCGCCGCCUGAAGGUCAGGGAGCCAGGGAAGGAGGUGCUGAUAGGCUGGUCUUUGAAAGUAGAUUCCACUUCUAUUUCAAUACUAGAAAAGUGGAAAAUAAACAAGCCCAUUUAAGCUGAUUAAAAAGCAAUUUCAGUGGCUACUGUGUUCAGGACCAAUGGAUGGGCCCCUGGUCAGGUCUGGGACGGCAGCUGCCUGGCAGUCUGGGGGUGGGGCCCAGGGCACAGAGCCUCCUUUCCUUAUCUGGGUGGCAAUAUUGAUAAGGCUGCCUCCAAAGAGAGUUAUUAGAACAAUAUAAUGGGUGGUCUGAACCUACCUCCAGCCUCUGUGAUCUAAAGGUUAAGAGAGCCCUGUGGCCCUGGUUCCUUUCCCAACAGGGAAGAACCACCACUCCCUCAGUUGUUACACUGUAGCGGCUGCAUGUUGCUGAAAGCUAUGCUGUGGGGAUUUCAAAUUCCAGCAGGGUCACUCAUGGUGGACAGGUUUCAUCAGAGCUUCCCGACUAAGAUAGACUAAGAAGAGCUCCCGGCCACCCACUUCUGAAUAAAUUGGUCAUGAAAACCCUGUGAAUAGCAGCAGAGCAUCAUCUGAUGCAGCACCGGAAGAUUUGUGUGUGAAUAUCCACUAUCAUUUCUCUUGGAUAAAUGCCUAGCAGUGGAAUUGCUGAGUCAUACACAGGAGCAGAAGAACCAGGUGAUGUGAAAUCAUUCAGAAGCAUCCAAAAGAAGCCUGGUCCCGCUCAGAGGCUGAGGGAACUCCAGACACGUUGGGCACGAGGGGCUGGGCUGACUAGGGUCCGAAGGCCAAAGCCAAGACAGCCAGGAGGAGUCCCAGCCACAGUUAGAGGGAACGUGCAUUGUAGAGCUGGCUGCUGCAAAUAGGAAAAGGAAGAGCGACAGAGGAGGCUGGACGACGUGAAUGCACAGUGCCAAGGCAGAAACGUGGAACCCAGACAAGCAAUUACAGCUAUCUACUGCAACAGCUUGUCAUGGCUGUCUUAGUGGGAAACGUCUUGAAUAAAAUCCUAGAGCCAUUCCGAGGAAUCUGAGUUGGAAAGGGUCCUAUGGAGGAGGAGGGCGGGUGGGGAGGGGAAAAGGCAGAGAAGAGAGAGAAGAAGGAGCGGGCAGGAAGGACUAAGACCUAUGAGAGGGAAGAAAAAUGUGGAAGGCACAUUAGAUUUCAGUCCUUAAACCAGAGGUUCUAACUGUUUUUAUUGAAUUGACCAUAUGUUUAUAAUUAAGCAUUACAUUAUACUAUAUAAACAUUAAAUAAAUAUUAUUCAUAUAGAAUUACAUGUGUGGACACAGCACAUCCUGAGCGGAAGAAUCAGUUGCCGCCUCUUCUCCGAGGCAUUUUUGGGGUCCUCAUGUGGAAUUACUCCUCUCGUUUGCUCCCAGAGGUCACAGCCCGUUCUCUUAUGGUUCUGCAUCACGACGUCGCAUGUUGCCUAUUUCUCUCUCCAGUAGAUUAUGAGCUUUGUGAGAGGAAGAGGGCCUCUGUCCAUAUAACUAAUAUUUAUUGAGAGCUUGUUUUGUGCUAGGCCUUUUGCAAAGCACUUGACAUGUUUUUAAUCCUCUAAACAAUCCUACAUGUGAAUAUUUUUAUUCCCAUUUUAAAGAUGAUAAAGCCAAAGCGAAGCAAGUUAAGUAUUGUCGAGCUCACACAGCAAGAAAGAGGGAGCGCUGGGGUUUGGGAAUAGGCAGUCUGAUUCCUAAACCUUCACUCUUAAGUGAGCUAAUGUAUCGUGCCACCCUGCACCUAACUUAAGAAGACUGUUAGUUUAGUUACUUGAAUUGUUAGUGGCCAAAUUCUUUCAAAGUCUAAC
rnacentral:lncRNA from 1 species